UCCUCCGACUCCCUCUCCUCUCUCGCCGACUCCGACCGCCCUGCUCUCUCACUCUUGUCCUCCCCCGCUGCCUACGCCGCCGUCUCCUCUUCCCUCUCCGGCUCCCACUCCGACCCCCUCUGCCACUGGCUCUACGACACCUUCCUCUCCUCCGACCCCCACCUCCGCCUCGUCGUCCUCUCCUUCGUCCCCCUCCUCUCUGGCCUCUACCUCUCCCGAAUCCACUCCCCUGAACCGCCGUCCCUCG
rnacentral:misc_RNA from 1 species